CAAUAGCGUAUAUUAAUGUUGUUGCAGUUAAAAAAGCUCGUAGUCGGAUUUUUGUGUCAUGUCGAACUGUCUGCCGAUUGGUUUGUACGGUUUGACGGGCAUAUUCCUUCCAGAGGCUCCGUGAGGCCUUCAUUGGUUUCGCGGUUGAAUCUGGGUCUUUUACUUUGAAAAAAUUAGAGUGUUCAAAGCAGGCCUAUGCUCGAAUAGGUUAGCAUGGAAUAAUAGAAUAGGACUUCGGUCUUAUUUUGUUGGUUUCUAGGACCGAAGUAAUGAUUAACAGGGACAGUUGGGGGCAUUCGUAUUAACGCGUCAGAGGUGGAAUUCUUGGAUUGCGUUACGACGAACUACUGCGAAAGCAUUUGCCAAGGAUGUUUUCAUUGAUCAAGAACGAAAGUAUGGGGAUCGAAGACGAUUAGAUACCAU
rnacentral:rRNA from 1 species